rnacentral:rRNA from 1 species
UACGAAGGGGGGCUAGCGUUGUUCGGAAUCACUGGGCGUAAAGGGCGUGUAGGCGGUCAUGUAAGUGGGAUGUGAAAGCCCUCGGCUCACCCGAGGAUCUGCAUCUCAAACUGCAUGGCUUGAGUAUGGGAGAGGAUGAGGGAAUUCCUGGUGUAGCGGUGAAAUGCGUAGAUAUCAGGAGGAACACCGGUGGCGAAGGCGCUCAUCUGGCCCAAUACUGACGCUGAGGCGCGAAAGCUAGGGGAGCAAACGGG